rnacentral:piRNA from 1 species
AGCAUGUGAUGGCUCAGGCUGAAGA